rnacentral:tRNA from 1 species
GCUGAAGUAAGCAUAGCGGCGAUUGCACUACUCUUGUAAGGUAGUAUACCACAUCGUGAGUUCGAGUCUCACCUUCAGCACCA